rnacentral:lncRNA from 1 species
UUUAACAAACAUUUUGUUUUAUGCUAUAAUUAUUUUAUUACUUAUUAAUAUUUUGGUCAUAUAAAGUAUGUAUUUAUAUCUACGUAUUAGUGGUAGUCUUGUAGUCAUUGUUUUGGUUAUUAGUUACUAACAUAUGCGUCUGACACUUUUCGUUAGGAUUAAAUAUGGAUAGAUCUUGGAUGUAUCUUGCACCUAGAUCUAGUGAAUCAUUCAUUAGUGGGGUGCAAUUUUUUUUUAAAUUUUGCAUUUGAGAAAUCAAGUGUUGAAGGAAAAAUAUUAUGCCCAUGUUCACAUUGUCUGAAUAUGUAUUAUUCAACAAGAAGAGAUAUUGUUGAUCAUCUUAUAUAUUGGGGCUUUCAUCCGGAAUACUUUAUAUGGGUAUAUCAUGGGGAAGGCUCGUCGAAUGCAUCUUCAAAUAUGACGUAGAUGGAGGAAGAAGUGAUAUUUCAGCAUGACAUGCAUGGAUUGUUGAAUGAGGUAGUUGGUGGAAACCAAGUAGAACCAAGCGAGGAUAAUGUGAAUAAUGGUCAAGAGGCGAACAAUGUAAGAAGUAAAUUUCAUGAUCUAUUUAAGGAAGCUGAAGAAAAGGUUUAUCCGAAUUCCAAAUACAACAAAUUAUCAUGUGUUGUUCAUUUAUACCAUCUGAAGUGUCUUAAUGGGUGGAGUAAUAAAUCCUUUUUCAUGCUGCUAGUGUUUUUAACAGAUUUGUUACUUGAAGGAAACUUGUUCCCUAAAACAACUCAACAAGUGAAAAAAAUGAUGUCAAGACUAGGACUUGGAUAUGAAAAAAUCCAUUCAUGUCCUAAUGGUUGCAUGUUGUUCUGGGAGGAUAAAGAGAAAGAUGAAUAUUGUUUUAUUUGUGGAUCGUCUAGAUGGAUAGUUCCUGAAGAUAAUUCAUCUAACAAAAUGAGUCCAACAAAUAAGAAAGCAUCAAAAAUAUUAUGUUGGUUUCCUUUAAAGCCUAGACUUUAGAGAUUGUUCAUUUCAUCGAAGACAACUAACCUUAUGAAGUGGCAUCAUGCAGAAUGUGUUGACGAUGGAAAACUACGACAUCCUACUGAUGCUUUAGCUUGGAAAGAUUUUGAUCGGAAGAGUCCUGAAUUCUCAAGUGAUCCUCUCAAUGUUCGUUUAGCACUUGCAAGUGAUGGUUUCAAUCCAUUUAGGACAAUGAACACAACACAUAAUAUUUGGCCAGUCAUCCUUAUUCCUUAUAACUUACCACCAUGGUUGGUUAUGAAACAACCUAACUUCAUUCUCUCUUUAAUCAUACCUGGUUCAUCAAGUCCUAGAAACAAGAUAGAUGUCUACAUGCAACCUUUAAUGAAAGAAUUGAAGGAGUUGAUACAUUUGAUGCAUCAACGAAAGAACAUUUUCAAUUAAAGGCAUCAAUUUUUUGUACAAUAUCUGACUUUCCUGGUUAUGCUAACUUGUCUGGGUGGAGUACCAAGGGAAAAAGUGCUUGUCCUAUGUGUAGGUUUGAAACUAAUUCUAGAUGGCUAUCCGAAGGAAAAAAGUGGUGUUAUAUGUGUCAUAGAAGAUGGCUUCCAGUUGAUCAUCAUUGGCGUAAAGACACUAGAUCCUUUGUUGAAAAAACAGAGGUAAGAGAAGCUCCUAAUCCUGUUACUGGUGAGGAUGUUCUUCAACAGUUAGGUGAUAAUGAAUUUCUUGUCUAAUGUGUUGAUGAUGGUCCUUGGAAAAAGAAAAGUAUUUUCUUUAUGUUGCCAUAUUGGAAACAUUUGUUGUUACGUCACAAUCUUGAUCCGAUGCACAUAGAAAAGAAUGUUUCUGAAAAUUUUAUGGGCACUUUUUUGGAUCAAGAUAAGAAAUCAAAAGAUAAUUAUAAAGCAAAACUUGAUCUAAAACUACUUGGCAUAAGAAAAGAUUUGCAUCCAAAGAAGCGACCAAGAAGCAAUACUACUCUCUUGCCAAAAACAUGUUAUCAAAUGACUCGGACUGAGAAAUCUAGGUUCCUAAAAACCCUUAAGUCAAUUAAGCCUCCAGAUGAAUUUUCAUCCAACAUAUCUCGAUGUGUGCAACUUAAAGACAAGAAACUAAUUGGGCUAAAAAGCUAUGACUGCCAUAUGUUGAUGCAAGAGUACUUACCUAUUGCAUUACGUGGAAGCUUGCCAGAUCAUGUAGUCUCAGUUAUAAUUAAGUUGUGUGAUUUUUUUAGGAUCAUUUGCUAUAAAGACCUAUCUCCAUUUGAUCUUGAGUUUCUCCAUGCUAAAGUUGUUGUCAUUUUAUGCAAAUUGGAGAAGAUAUUCCCUCCUUCCUUCUUCACGGUGAUGGUACACUUGAUAAUCCACUUAGUUAGAGAGGUUGAGCUUGGAGGCCCUGUUGCUUUCUGAUGGAUGUAUCCUAUCGAAAGGUAAAGCGGUUUUUUUUCUUUUAAUAUUUCAAUUUACCUCUACUUUUGUUAGUAUUUUAAGAUGUUCUGUUAUCUAUGAAUACAUAGGAGCCUUUCAACACUUAAGUCGUAUGUAAACAAUAGAGCUCAUCCUGAAGGCUCUAUUGCUGAAGGUUAUUUAGCUCAAGAAUGUAUAACAUUUUGCUCUAGAUAUUUCACGGGAGUAGAAACAAUUUUCACUAGACCAAUUAGGAAUGAUGAUGAAGGCCACCAAAAUGAGAUUGAAGAAUCUAACAGUCUUUGUCCUGGUCGUCCAUUGGGUCGUAAAGUCUAUUCAGGAUCUUCGUUUAAAAAACGAAGGACAAACUCAAAUACUGUCUUGGAUGAGAUGUCGCUUGCUCAAGCACAUCGCUAUGUGUUAUUUAAUAUCGAAUCAGUUACUUCUUUUCGAGAGUAAGAUCUACUACAUUUCUUUAUGUUUUUUAUAGACUUCAUGUUUGGCCUGUAGUUUACAAAAAGUAUGCUUUAUUUUUGAAGGGAACACAAAAGGCUAAUCAAGGGACAGAAUCGGUCUCAUCGAAUACCUGAGUAUGGAAUUGAUAAGAUUCGUUGUCAACAGUUUAGUGAUUGGUUUAAAAAAGGGUAAGACGGGAAAACAAAGAUUGUGUGUAUUAUGUAUUGAUCUUUGAAAUUCUAACCUAAACUAAAAAAAAUAGGUUGCACGCAUGGAAGAGCAACGAGAUGAAGCUGUUACUGAAGAAAUAAAGUAGCUUGCUCGUGGUCCAUUAAAUAUCAUGCAACAAUACUCAGGUUACCUUGUUAAGGGAUACCGGUUUCAUAAUAUAAAACGUGAGGAAUUUCUAAGAACACAAAAUAGUGGAGUAGUUUUUACUGUACAUGGUGCGAGUUAUGCUAGUAGUCGAGAUAGAAGGCCUGUUGAAGGUGUGGUUAACUACUAUGGUAGAUUGAAUGACAUUAUUGAGUUAAACUACUCUGGUUUCAUACGAGUAGUUUUAUUCAAAUGUGAUUGGGUUGACGUCAAUAGGGGUUGCAAGAAAGAUAAUGGUGUAACUUUAGUGAAUUUUUCAUACAAGACAGAUACAAGUGCUAAUUUAAUGGAUGAUCCAUUUAUUUUGGCCUCACAAGCUGACAAGGUGUUCUAUGCUACUGAUCCUAAGAAUGUAGAUUGGGAGGUCGUGAGACAUGUAAAAGUAAGAGAUCUAUUUGACAUGGGUGGAGUUGAUGAUCAAACCGCUAGAAAUCCAUAUGAUGACACAUUUGAUGUGCCAAGCUUACAUAGAGUAGGAGAUGAUGGAGAUGAUGGAAUGGAUGUUACACCAGAAAUGGAAGUUGAAGGCGAAGAUAGUGAAGAAAUUGAAGAUGACUAGAUUAUUUUUAUGGCAUAUAACAUAUAUUCUUCAUUGUAGUUGUUUUUGAUAUUAUCCAUAUGAUAACACAUUUGAUGUACCAAAUGUUUUUUUUGAUACCGACUAUAAUAUAUGAUGGUGGCUGAAUUCUCAAAUUUAUCUAUCAUUGAUAAUUUAAGUUACAUUGUUUUGUAAAUCAUAGGAUGGCUAGGCGUAAAAGACUACGCAUGACACCUACUGAGGACCAUGUUGAAGCUCAACAUCACCAACAAAAUUCUCAAGGUCCAGACGAGACUGUCGAUCAACAGCAAAAUUCUCAAGGAGAAAAUCAGACUAUCAAUCAAUAAUCUGUCCAAAAUGAGAUAUCUGCUAAUAUUGAUCAACAAAAUUCUGAACAUGGAUCUGAUCCAGGUAAAUUGUAAAAGUAAAUGAAUCUGAGUUUUUAGUUAGCACAUUUUUUGCGGCAAUCAAUAUAUUCCUUUUAAAAAAUGGCUGAUUAGUUAAUUAUGAUGAAAAGCUCUUGUUCUAAAUAACAUUUUACUUUCAGUUUUUUCUUAUAAAGGCAUCAUAUUUUGAAAGUGAAACUAGGAUUAAUAUGACUCCUGAAUUUUGAAACAGUCCCUAUGACAGUAGAUUAUUUAGUCUAUUUAACUUCAAUACACAUCAUGCUCACUAUUAAUUAAUAAAAUUUAAACUCAUAAAAUUGAGAAAAAUAAAAAUAGAAGUCAAAAGAGGGAAAAUGGCCCUGUGGCAGCUAACAGUUACAUUGUCCAUGAGUGUAUAUUUCUACUUUUCUUUUCUUGGACAAGCAUGCCCUUGUGGCAGCUAACAGUUAGAAAAGUGGCCAUGUUGCAGGAAAAAACAUCAAAAUAAUGGUUCCUUAAGGACCUGUUACAGACUGCUGAAUUUUGAAACAGUCCCUAUGACAGUAAUAUAUUACAUAAAUGGAAAAAUGGUUUCUUAAAUAGCUGUUACAGAAAUGGUCCUUGUAACAGAUAAUUGUUACAAUCUUGG